rnacentral:misc_RNA from 1 species
AAGUCGUAACAAGGUUUCCGUAGGUGAACCUGCGGAAGGAUCAUUAACAAAUCUAUGAGCGAAAGCUCAUCAACCUUUGUGAAUUGGGUUGUAUAGUUGGUAACAAAUAUACAAUUUCGUUGGGGUCCCUUUGUGUAAUAGAAAGAUUAUUUCUAAAGAUUGUUUCGAAAGAAUAUUUUGAAAGAUUUAAUUUUUUCUAUUGCAUAUAUUAUAUAUUAACAUUGUCUGAUUAUAGAUUGAAGUCGUAAGAUUUCAAAUAAAAAUACAACUUUUAACAAUGGAUCUCUAGGCUCUU